GCCGGUGUAGCUCAGUUGGUAGAGCAGUUCAUUCGUAAUGAAAAGGUCAGGGGUUCGAUUCCUCUUACCGGCACCA
rnacentral:tRNA from 1 species